CGACCUCAGGUCAGGCGGGGCUACCCGCUGAGUUUAAGCAUAUCAAUAAGCGGAGGAAAAGAAACUAACG
rnacentral:rRNA from 1 species